UUGGCCUUGACAUACUAAGAACUUUCCAGAGAUGGAUUGGUGCCUUCGGGAACUUAGAUACAGGUGCUGCAUGGCUGUCGUCAGCUCGUGUCGUGAGAUGUUGGGUUAAGUCCCGCAACGAGCGCAACCCUUUUCCUUAUUUGCCAGCGGGUCAUGCCGGGAACUUUAAGGAUACUGCCAGUGACAAACUGGAGGAAGGCGGGGACGACGUCAAGUCAUCAUGGCCCUUACGGCCAGGGCUACACACGUGCUACAAUGGUCGGUACAAAGGGUUGCUACCUCGCGAGAGGAUGCUAAUCUCAAAAAGCCGAUCGUAGUCCGGAUCGCAGUCUGCAACUCGACUGCGUGAAGUCGGAAUCGCUAGUAAUCGCGGAUCAGAAUGCCGCGGUGAAUACGUUCCCGGGCCUUGUACACACCGCCCGUCACACCAUGGGAGUUUGUUGAACCAGAAGUAGGUAGUCUAACCGCAAGGAGGACGCUUACCACGGUGUGGCCGAUGACUGGGGUGAAGUCGUAACAAGGUAGGCGUAGAUGA
rnacentral:rRNA from 1 species